rnacentral:rRNA from 1 species
AUGCGUUGUUCCCCUCGGUUGGAUUGUUCAUCCUUCUUCGCCGAUGGUGUGCUCAUCUAUUGCAGUAGCCUUCGUGUGCUGGAUGAACAGUGCCGGUUGGUUUCUUCCCGUUGUGUCCUGCAUCGACAGUCGCAUCUUUCUGCCAUUGCCAUUGAGGUUCAACGAUCUGCUAGGUUGCUGCAUCUGCAACUGUUAAAUAAGCUGGUCAGCUCUGCCUCUGGGGCAAAAGGUCAGCAAAUCUGCUUGGCUAUUCCUCCCAAGGUGAUGAGAGAUUGCUUGUUGCAGACUACAUGCCUAGAAAGACAUAUCUUCCACUAG